rnacentral:rRNA from 1 species
GCGCAGCAGGCGAGAAUAGUCUACAAUGGACGAAAGUCUGAUAGUGCGACGCCGUGUGUGCGAUUAAUUCCUUCGGGAUGUAAAGCACUUUUCUAUGAGAUAAAAGCUCUUUAGGUUAAUAGCUUAUUGAGACGGAUAUUAUUAUAGGAAUAAGCUCCGGCUAACUCCGUGCCAGCAGCCGCGGUAAUACGGAAGGAGCGAGCGUUGUCCGGAUUUUACUAGGCGUAAAGGGCUAGUAGGCGACUAAUUAAGUUAUAUGUUAAAUCCCACGGCUCAACUGUGGUCCUGCAUGUAAUACUGGUUAGAUAGAGUACUGUAGAGGAAGGCAGAAUUCCUGGAGUAGCGGUGGAAUGCGCAGAUAUCAGGAAGAAUACCAAAAGCGAAGGCAGCCUUCUGGGCAGUUACUGACGCUGAAUAGCGAAGGUGUGGGUAGCGAACAGGAUUAGAUACCUGCGU